rfam:Rhizobiales bacterium TMED25 107478, whole genome shotgun sequence.
AAAUCAUGACAGGGGUGCCUUAUGGGCUGAGAUAAACCCUUUUAACCUGAUCCAGAUAAUGCUGGCGGAGGAAGUCAUGAUGAAUUUCUU